AAAGCAUUUUAAAAUGAUGACAGGGUGUGCUAGAUGGCUUGGAGUAGAGGGAAUAUUGGGCUGAGUGACUGAAUUCCUGGGGCAGGGGCACAGCAGCCCAGCAGGGAUCCCUUAGCUGGAGGGAUGGGCUGGGAAGGUGGGGACCUCUCCCAUCGGGAUAAAAGGAAAGGAAAUGAAGUUGAACACCGGUGUCUUGUAAAGGGAAGGCCAGGAUGAGGUCAGGAUUUGGGGUGAAGAAAGGCAGAUGUCCAGCUUCACACCAAACUGUUCAGUGAAUAAAGAAAAGUGAUUAUGUGACAACUACCAGAGGUGGGGUGGCCUGACUUUUGAAGGAGCAGAGAUUUAUACACUUGAAUGGACCGCAGUGGUCUGGAAGCCAGGUAGGCCUGUUUCCCACUCCAGUGCUGGUGUGGGAGAGGGCCCGGUUUCCACCAGGAGGGGGUGCUGGGAAAAUUGAGGCAGAGAGAGGAACACCCUGAAUUAGGUGGAGGAGGAAGAGGAGCUGAUUUACCAUGGAGUGGAGUUCCAGAGGCACAGAGGGAGGGUUUGCAGGGGAAGGGACCCGAGUCUCUGGCCAGUCUACAACUUAGCACUCUCUCGGCCACUCUUAAUCAUACCGCACAUUAAAAUGCAUCCACAGAGCACAAUAUAUAGAGACUUUUAUUAUAAAAAUUUUGAAGGGAAUUUCAUAAUAUUUCUUAUUAAACUGUUUAGCUAUGAAUUUACCUUUAGACCAUGACUUUUCUGCAAUUGUCAUUUAUGGUCAGUAGCUCUUGUGUAGUAAGAAAAAUAAAACCUACAAAUUAUUUUCAGGUGUCAUCAAUAUUUC
rnacentral:lncRNA from 1 species